rnacentral:ncRNA from 2 species
UACACAUGCUAGGGGUGCUUGGUAAACCAAGCUGAGAUCACACCCUUAACACCUGAGACUGGGUAAUACCAGCGGAGGGAAGCUGAUUAUAUUGAGG